rnacentral:rRNA from 1 species
GCCAGCCCGCUCAGAAUCAAGGAAUUGACGGGGCCGCACAAGCGGUGGAGUAUGUGGUUUAAUUCGAUGCAACGCGAAGAACCUUACCUGGUCUUGACAUCCCGGAGACCCUUAGGAAACUAGGGGGUGCUUCCAUCUGGAAGAAUCUGGAGACAGGUGCUGCAUGGCUGUCGUCAGCUCGUGUCGUGAGAUGUUGGGUUAAGUCCCGCAACGAGCGCAACCCUUGCCUUUAGUUGCCAGCAGUUCGGCUGGGCACUCUAAAGGGACUGCCGGUGUUAAACCGGAGGAAGGUGGGGAUGACGUCAAGUCCUCAUGGCCUUUAUGACCAGGGCUACACACGUACUACAAUGGCCGAUACAAAGGGCAGCGACACUGCGAGGUGAAGCCAAUCCCGUAAAAUCGGUCUCAGUCCGGAUUGGAGUCUGCAACUCGACUCCAUGAAGUUGGAAUCGCUAGUAAUCGUGGAUCAGCAUGCCACGGUGAAUACGUUCCCGGGCCUU